rnacentral:rRNA from 1 species
CAGUCGCCACGGUAAUACGAAGGGUGCAAGCGUUACUCGGAAUCACUGGGCGUAAAGCGUGCGUAGGUGGUGGUUUAAGUCCGUUGUGAAAGCCCUGGGCUCAACCUGGGAAUUGCAGUGGAUACUGGGUCACUAGAGUGUGGUAGAGGAUAGUGGAAUUUCCGGUGUAGCAGUGAAAUGCGUAGAGAUCGGAAGGAACAUCUGUGGCGAAGGCGACUAUCUGGGCCAACACUGACACUGAGGCACGAAAGCGUGGGGAGCAAACAGGAUUAGAGACCCGAGUAGUCCCUGUCUCUUAUAC